UCGGACGCGGCGAUGAUGACGAGGAAGAGUUCGAGUUUGCAAUUUUGUGUACAGAGCCGGACGCGUCGCCCAUUUCAGCUGAUGAGAUCUUCUAUAACGGCCAGCCAUUCUAUCCGGUAUUCAACACAGCGUUGCUGACAGACGACCGGGAAGAAUUAUCCAAACCAUCAUCCGCUGUCUCCGACAACCAAACCCCCAAACCCAUCAGAUUACCAUUGAGGAAACUCUUCAGUGAAGAGCGAGAAACGACGUCGUGCUCGUCUUCGGAGGCCGACGAGCUGGAAACUGUGCCUGCUGGGACUUACUGCGUGUGGACUCCAAAGAAGGGAAAGGAAACCCCCGGAAAGUGCAAGAAAAGCAGCUCCACUGGGUCUUCGAAGAGAUGGAAGUUUCGAGACUUGCUUUACAGGAGUAAUAGCGAUGGAAAAGAUACCUUCGUGUUCUUGACGCCGGUGAAGAAGAGCAGUGAAAGAGUAAUAGAGGAUGAAGGUAAAGAGAACAAAGAGAAAGACAAGGACGGGAAAGCAAUGGUUAAGGAGCAUCACGCGAAGAACAGAG
rnacentral:misc_RNA from 1 species